GACGAACGCUGGCGGCGUGCCUAAUACAUGCAAGUCGAACGCAUUUUCUUUCACCGUAGCUUGCUACACCGAAAGAAAAUGAGUGGCGAACGGGUGAGUAACACGUGGGUAACCUGCCCAUCAGCGGGGGAUAACACUUGGAAACAGGUGCUAAUACCGCAUAAUUCCAUUUACCGCAUGGUAAAUGGAUGAAAGGCGCUUUUGCGUCACUGAUGGAUGGACCCGCGGUGCAUUAGCUAGUCGGUGGGGUAACGGCCUACCAAGGCUGCGAUGCAUAGCCGACCUGAGAGGGUGAUCGGCCACACUGGGACUGAGACACGGCCCAGACUCCUACGGGAGGCAGCAGUAGGGAAUCUUCGGCAAUGGACGCAAGUCUGACCGAGCAACGCCGCGUGAGGGAAGAAGGGUUUCGGAUCGUAAAACUCUGUUGUUAGAGAAGAACAAGGAUGAGAGUGGAAAGUUCAUCCCUUGACGGUAUCUAACCAGAAAGCCACGGCUAACUACGUG
rnacentral:rRNA from 1 species